GACGAACGCUGGCGGCGUGCCUAAUACAUGCAAGUAGAACGCUGAAGAGAGGAGCUUGCUCUUCUUGGAUGAGUUGCGAACGGGUGAGUAACGCGUAGGUAACCUGCCUGGUAGCGGGGGAUAACUAUUGGAAACGAUAGCUAAUACCGCAUGAUAUUAAUUGUCGCAUGAUAAUUAAUUGAAAGAUGCAAUUGCAUCACUGCCAGAUGGACCUGCGUUGUAUUAGCUAGUUGGUGAGGUAACGGCUCACCAAGGCGACGAUACAUAGCCGACCUGAGAGGGUGAUCGGCCACACUGGGACUGAGACACGGCCCAGACUCCUACGGGAGGCAGCAGUAGGGAAUCUUCGGCAAUGGGGGGAACCCUGACCGAGCAACGCCGCGUGAGUAAGAA
rnacentral:rRNA from 1 species